rnacentral:rRNA from 1 species
CCUGAGAAACCUAAAAGAUCGAAUGAGGAGAUUCAUCGUCAGCGCUUUUGGUAUAUAUGCAAAUUUAGAUAUUGAAAUUAUCCUUGUGGUAAUUUUUGAUACUGGCUUGUAUAUUUGUUGCUAAUUGUUGUCGGCGUGCACUUCUCCUCUAGUAGAACGUCGCGACCCGUUAAGUGUCGAUCUACGACCCAGAUGGUUGUCUUUGAUUCAUAUUAAUGUGUCGAAGACCACUGGUGUUUUCUGAUCGGCUGCUUGACGGUAUAUAAUAUGGUAUUGGGUCGCAUAAUAUAAAUUUGCGUUAGACCGACCACAAGCGUAACUAGUAAUCUGGCAGUGCGGACCUGGUGCCGUCGCUAGAACUAGUUUGCUGUUCGUUGGUUGUGUUCUCUAACAGACUCUUAUAACAUACCUGUCAGCGAUGCUACUGCUUUGGGUACUUUCAGG